UGUGUUUUCCUCGUUAACAGACAAUAUUUUUGGCAGUUACAGUUUUUAAUCAGUUAAAAACAAUUGUUAAACAGCUCAUAUUGUUAUCCUUUAGGAUUCUCUGUUGCAAGCAUGCUGCACAAGAAUGUCCCCCAGAUUGUGUUCUUACUAGCCCUCUUCAGUGCAAUAUAUCCAGGGACACACAGUCUGCCAGGACCUGGAACCUAUUCUUCUAUCAGGUUGGGGAAUCUUGAGGGUGACGAGAACAGCUGGGCAAAUAGUCCAGCAGAUUCACCUGCAGAAAACUAUAAACUUUACUACGAUUCUUCAAACACAGUAGCAAGACCCACAAGACAUGCCGAUGGCCUGUUUACAAGCGGAUACAGCAAACUUCUUGGACAACUUUCUGCCAGACGCUACCUUGAAUCCCUGAUUGGAAA